AGGGAGGGUGAGAGAGAUAGAAACGGUGAGGGAGAAGGAGAGGGAGAGAGAGUGGGAGGCAGAGGGAAACGAUUGCAGAAUUUAGAAGUCUGCAAGGAGAAGCUAAGCAAUCCGUUUCAGAGAGGCGUGGCAGGAGAAAUCAAAAGGCGGAAAGAAGUGUGGAGAAGACGGGGCCAGGUCCACCUGUAGAUCACUCGCUUCGGAGUCUCGCUGAACUGCAGCUACUCGUAUACCGGCUGCGUUGGUUUAAUACCAAGACAGCGAGCAGCUGUGUAAAUGUAAUGUUCUCGCUUGGAAAUGAAAAGGGCCGCUGUUGGGUUUGAUUUGAAAUCCAUGCUCGCUGCUCGUCUGUGCUGAAUCAAUCCAGCACGGAGGAGAUGUCAGCACCAAGAGGCUGGACAGCUCCCGGGACUCCAAUCGACACGCUCUGAGUUGAGCUGCAACUCAGGUGCCAGCUAUAAAAAGGCAGGAAGGCGAUGUCAGCCCUCCCUCCUAACCCCUCCGACCAAGCGACCUUAAAGGAGCGGACAUGUGUGCCACUCACCAGCUGACCAUUGGAGGUAGCUGGGCGACCCGGGUUCGGUGAACGGGGGAAUGGUGCUCCCUGGUGGCAGGAGGGCUGUACUGCAAUGUACAAAGACCCCCUGUAACCCAUAGAGGAACAGGCGACCUAUCAGCACCCCUUCAUCACAGGACGACUCCAUCUCCCGGUUUAGCGCUCACCAAGUCACAUUUUCGCAUGGACCCGUGGUUUGCAUGAAUUCGUUCUGGAGGAGGAAAGGGCCGACAGGCUGCAAUGUUUUGGAGCACGUUUUGGAUCUCCGGCAAGAGACGAGCAGCACGAAGACAUCUCGUGUUUCUGUUUCAUGUUAUAAUUAAAUCCAAUAAGAAAGCUCUUUCAAAAAAUUGUUGAGUUAUAACACAGAAAGGGUAUGGGCAUUUCAUUUUUAAAGACUGACUCCUUUAUAAAAGUAAGCCACAAUCAAUGUAACUAUUCGGUUACUAGGCGUUUGUGUCAAGUAACUACAAGAAUUAAAACAAGUGGACAUAUGC